rnacentral:rRNA from 1 species
GACGAACGCUGGCGGCGUGCUUAACACAUGCAAGUCGAACGAUGAACCCGGAGCUUGCUCCGGUGGAUUAGUGGCGAACGGGUGAGUAACACGUGAGUAACCUGCCCUUGACUCUGGGAUAACUGCGGGAAACUGUAGCUAAUACCGGAUACGACACCUUGGGGCAUCCCAGGGUGUGGAAAGAAUUUCGGUCAAGGAUGAGCUCGCGGCCUAUCAGCUAGUUGUGGAGGUAAUGGCUCACCAAGGCGACGACGGGUAGCCGGCCUGAGAGGGUGACCGGCCACAAUGGAACUGAGACACGGUCCAGACUCCUACGGGAGGCAGCAGUGGGGAAUAUUGCACAAUGGGCGAAAGCCUGAUGCAGCAACGCCGCGUGAGGGAUGAAGGCCUUCGGGUUGUAAACCUCUUUUAGCAGGGAAGAAGCGAAAGUGACGGUACCUGCAGAAAAAGCACCGGCUAACUACGUGCCAGCCGCCGCAGUAA